rnacentral:rRNA from 1 species
GGGGAAUUUUGGACAAUGGGCGAAAGCCCGAUGCAGCAACGCCGCGUGGGCGAUGAAGGCCUUCGGGUCGUAAAGCCCUUUUUGAGGGGAUGAGGAAGGACAGUACCCUCAGAAUAAGCCUCGGCUAACUACGUGCCAGCAGCCGCGGUAAAACGUAGGAGGCGAGCGUUAUCCGGAUUUACUGGGCGUAAAGCGCGUGCAGGCGGAUUGGAGAGUUGGAUGUGAAAGCUCCCGGCUUAACUGGGAGAGGUCGUUCAAUACUUCCAGUCUUGAGUGCAGUAGAGGGAAGUGGAAUUCCGGGUGUAGUGGUGAAAUGCGUAGAUAUCCGGAGGAACACCAGUGGCGAAAGCGGCUUCCUGGACUGUAACUGACGCUCAGACGCGAAAGCUAGGGUAGCAAACG